rnacentral:rRNA from 1 species
ACGAAGGGGGCUAGCGUUGCUCGGAAUCACUGGGCAUAAAGGGCGCGUAGGCGGCGUUUUAAGUCGGGGGUGAAAGACUGUGGCUCAACCACAGAAUGGCCUUCGAUACUGGGACUCUUGAGUAUGGUAGAGGAAGGUGGAACUGCGAGUGUAGAGGUGAAAUGCGUAGAUAUGCGCAAGAACACCGGUGGCGAAGGCGGCCAACUGGACUAACCCUGACGCUGAGGCGCGAAAGCGUGGGUAGCAAACAG